AAGAGCUUGCUCUUUGGAUUAGUGGCGAACGGGUGAGUAACACGUGAGCAAUCUGCCCUUGACUCUGGGAUAAGCGUUGGAAACGACGUCUAAUACCGGAUACGACCUUCGGAGGCAUCUCCUGGGGGUGGAAAGAAUUUUGGUCAAGGAUGAGCUCGCGGCCUAUCAGCUAGUUGGUGAGGUAAUGGCUCACCAAGGCGACGACGGGUAGCCGGCCUGAGAGGGUGACCGGCCACACUGGGACUGAGACACGGCCCAGACUCCUACGGGAGGCAGCAGUGGGGAAUAUUGCACAAUGGGCGAAAGCCUGAUGCAGCAACGCCGCGUGAGGGACGACGGCCUUCGGGUUGUAAACCUCUUUUAGUAGGGAAGAAGCGAAAGUGACGGUACCUGCAGAAAAAGCACCGGCUAACUACGUGCCAGCAGCCGCGGUAAUACGUAGGGUGCAAGCGUUGUCCGGAAUUAUUGGGCGUAAAGAGCUCGUAGGCGGUUUGUCGCGUCUGCUGUGAAAACUGGAGGCUCAACCUCCAGCCUGCAGUGGGUACGGGCAGACUAGAGUGCGGUAGGGGAGAUUGGAAUUCCUGGUGUAGCGGUGGAAUGCGCAGAUAUCAGGAGGAACACCGAUGGCGAAGGCAGAUCUCUGGGCCGUAACUGACGCUGAGGAGCGAAAGCAUGGGGAGCGAACAGGAUUAGAUACCCUGGUAGUCCAUGCCGUAAACGUUGGGAACUAGAUGUGGGGACCAUUCCACGGUCUCCGUGUCGCAGCUAACGCAUUAAGUUCCCCGCCUGGGGAGUACGGCCGCAAGGCUAAAACUCAAAGGAAUUGACGGGGGCCCGCACAAGCGGCGGAGCAUGCGGAUUAAUUCGAUGCAACGCGAAGAACCUUACCAAGGCUUGACAUAUACGAGAACGGGCCAGAAAUGGUCAACUCUUUGGACACUCGUAAACAGGUGGUGCAUGGUUGUCGUCAGCUCGUGUCGUGAGAUGUUGGGUUAAGUCCCGCAACGAGCGCAACCCUCGUCCUAUGUUGCCAGCACGUAAUGGUGGGAACUCAUGGGAUACUGCCGGGGUCAACUCGGAGGAAGGUGGGGAUGACGUCAAAUCAUCAUGCCCCUUAUGUCUUGGGCUUCACGCAUGCUACAAUGGCCGGUACAAAGGGCUGCAAUACCGCAAGGUGGAGCGAAUCCCAAAAAGCCGGUCUCAGUUCGGAUUGAGGUCUGCAACUCGACCUCAUGAAGUCGGAGUCGCUAGUAAUCGCAGAUCAGC
rnacentral:rRNA from 1 species